ACGUAGGGGGCGAGCGUUAUUCGGAAUUACUGGGCGUAAAGGGCAUGCAGGCGGGAGAUCAAGUCGCGUGUGAAAGCCCAGGGCUUAACCCCGGGAGGGCGUUGGAAACUGAUGUUCUUGAGUGCUGGAGAGGAAGGGAGAAUUCCCGGUGUAGAGGUGAAAUUCGUAGAGAUCGGGAGGAACAUCAGUGGCGAAGGCGCCCUUCUGGACAGCAACUGACGCUGAGACGCGAAAGCGUGGGGAGCAAACAG
rnacentral:rRNA from 1 species